rnacentral:rRNA from 5 species
AGAGUUUGAUCCUGGCUCAGGAUGAACGCUGGCGGCGUGCCUAAUACAUGCAAGUCGAGCGAACGGACGAGAAGCUUGCUUCUCUGAUGUUAGCGGCGGACGGGUGAGUAACACGUGGAUAACCUACCUAUAAGACUGGGAUAACUUCGGGAAACCGGAGCUAAUACCGGAUAAUAUUUUGAACCGCAUGGUUCAAAAGUGAAAGACGGUCUUGCUGUCACUUAUAGAUGGAUCCGCGCUGCAUUAGCUAGUUGGUAAGGUAACGGCUUACCAAGGCAACGAUGCAUAGCCGACCUGAGAGGGUGAUCGGCCACACUGGAACUGAGACACGGUCCAGACUCCUACGGGAGGCAGCAGUAGGGAAUCUUCCGCAAUGGGCGAAAGCCUGACGGAGCAACGCCGCGUGAGUGAUGAAGGUCUUCGGAUCGUAAAACUCUGUUAUUAGGGAAGAACAUAUGUGUAAGUAACUGUGCACAUCUUGACGGUACCUAAUCAGAAAGCCACGGCUAACUACGUGCCAGCAGCCGCGGUAAUACGUAGGUGGCAAGCGUUAUCCGGAAUUAUUGGGCGUAAAGCGCGCGUAGGCGGUUUUUUAAGUCUGAUGUGAAAGCCCACGGCUCAACCGUGGAGGGUCAUUGGAAACUGGAAAACUUGAGUGCAGAAGAGGAAAGUGGAAUUCCAUGUGUAGCGGUGAAAUGCGCAGAGAUAUGGAGGAACACCAGUGGCGAAGGCGACUUUCUGGUCUGUAACUGACGCUGAUGUGCGAAAGCGUGGGGAUCAAACAGGAUUAGAUACCCUGGUAGUCCACGCCGUAAACGAUGAGUGCUAAGUGUUAGGGGGUUUCCGCCCCUUAGUGCUGCAGCUAACGCAUUAAGCACUCCGCCUGGGGAGUACGACCGCAAGGUUGAAACUCAAAGGAAUUGACGGGGACCCGCACAAGCGGUGGAGCAUGUGGUUUAAUUCGAAGCAACGCGAAGAACCUUACCAAAUCUUGACAUCCUUUGACAACUCUAGAGAUAGAG